rnacentral:rRNA from 1 species
CGGUGAAUACGUUCCCGGGUCUUGUACACACCGCCUGUCAAGCCAUGGAAGCUGGGUGUACCUAAAGUCGAUAACCGUAAGGAGUCGCCUAGGGUAAAACUAGUAACUGGGGCU